GGCCCUGGGGUGUCACACGCAGGACUGCAACCCCUGAGAAGCAGAAUAAGAUUCUGCCGGGGCUU
rnacentral:tRNA from 1 species